rnacentral:rRNA from 1 species
AACGAACGCUGGCGGCAUGCCUAACACAUGCAAGUCGAACGAGACCUUCGGGUCUAGUGGCGCACGGGUGCGUAACGCGUGGGAACCUGCCCUUAGGUUCGGAAUAACUCCCCGAAAGGGGUGCUAAUACCGGAUAAUGUCUUCGGACCAAAGAUUUAUCGCCUUUGGAUGGGCCCGCGUUGGAUUAGCUAGUUGGUAGGGUAAAAGCCUACCAAGGCGACGAUCCAUAGCUGGUCUGAGAGGAUGAUCAGCCACACUGGGACUGAGACACGGCCCAGAAUCCUACGGGAGGGAGCAGUGGGGAAUAUUGGACGAUGGGCGAAAGCCUGAUCAAGCAAUGCCGCGUGAGUGAUGAAGGCCUUAGGGUUGUAAAGCUCUUUUACCCGGGAUGAUAAUGACAGUACCGGGAGAAUAAGCUCCGGCUAACUACGUG